rnacentral:rRNA from 1 species
UACGUAGGGGGCUAGCGUUGCUCGGAAUCACUGGGCGUAAAGGGUGCGUAGGCGGGCCUUUAAGUCAGGGGUGAAAUCCUGGAGCUCAACUCCAGAACUGCCUUUGAUACUGAAGAUCUUGAGUUCGGGAGAGGUGAGUGGAACUGCGAGUGUAGAGGUGAAAUUCGUAGAUAUUCGCAAGAACACCAGUGGCGAAGGCGGCUCACUGGCCCGAUACUGACGCUGAGGCACGAAAGCGUGGGGAGCAAACAGG